rnacentral:rRNA from 1 species
UACGUAGGGUGCAAGCGUUAAUCGGAAUUACUGGGCGUAAAGCGUGCGCAGGCGGUUUUGUAAGACUGUCGUGAAAUCCCCGGGCUUAACCUGGGAAUGGCGAUGGUGACUGCAAGGCUAGAGUUUGGCAGAGGGGGGGUAGAAUUCCACGUGUAGCAGUGAAAUGCGUAGAGAUGUGGAGGAACACCGAUGGCGAAGGCAGCCCCCUGGGUCAAAACUGACGCUCAUGCACGAAAGCGUGGGGAGCAAACAGG